rnacentral:misc_RNA from 1 species
CUGGACAGGAGCGUGGGGCAUAGCUCGGACAAUGGGCCUGAGCGGAGGCACAGAGCUCCGUUGGGCGGGGGUGGGUCUGCCGGGAGAAGCUCCUGGCCCGGCCUAGGCGGACCUCAGCGCGGCGGUUCGGGGCAUAACAGGGCGGUAGGCGUCUGGGCGGAGCUCAGCCUUGGCGUUCCUCGAUGUUGCGCCCGCGACUCAGUGGAGGCAGGAGACGGAAGGCGGACGGGGGCGUGGUCGCAUAGGGCGAUCGACGAUGGAGUUGGUGCUAGGCGAAGGCUCGGCCGCGGAGGCUCGACGUCGGCCGUCGGUGGCUUGGCUCGCUAG